GACGAACGCUGGCGGCGUGCUUAACACAUGCAAGUCGAACGGAAAGGCCUGCUUUCCCUUGUGGUUUGCGGGUACUCGAGUGGCGAACGGGUGAGUAACACGUGAGUGAUCUGCCCCCAACUUGGGUAUAAGCCUGGGAAACUGGGUCUAAUUCCCGAUAGGACUGCAGGGUGGUGCCUGUGGUGGAAAACGAUUUUCUAGUGGUUGGGGAUGAGCUCGCGGCCUAUCAGCUUGUUGGUGGGGUAAUGGCCUACCAAGGCGGCGACGGGUAGCCGGCCGGAGAGGGUGGACGGCCACAUUGGGACUGAGAUACGGCCCAGACUCCUACGGGAGGCAGCAGUGGGGAAUAUUGCACAAUGGGCGGAAGCCUGAUGCAGCGACGCCGCGUGGGGGAUGACGGCCUUCGGGUUGUAAGCUCCUUUCGACCGCGAGGAAGCCACCUGGUUGGAAGGGUGGUGACGGUAGUGGUAGAAGAAGCACCGGCUAACUACGUG
rnacentral:rRNA from 1 species